rnacentral:rRNA from 1 species
GAUGAACGCUGGCGGCGUGCCUAACACAUGCAAGUCGAGCGAAGCGGCGGACGGGUGCGUAACACGUGAUAACCUACCUAUAAGACUGGGAUAAAUUCGGGAAACCGGAGCUAAUACCGCGUACCAUAGGGUGAGCCUCGGUCGGAUUAGCUAGUUGGGGGGGUACAGGCCUACCCAGGCGACGAUCCGUAACUGGUCUGAGAGGAUGAUCAGUCACACUGGAACUGAGACACGGGCCAGAGUCCUACGGGAGGCAGCAGGGGGGAAUAUUGGACAAUGGGCGAAAGCCUGAUCCAGCAAUGCCGCGUGUGUGAAGAAGGUCUUCGGAUUGCAAAGCACUUUAAGUGGGGAGGCGUUACCAGCAGAAUAAGCACCGGCUAACUUCGUGCCAGCAGCCGCGGUAAUAC